rnacentral:rRNA from 1 species
AGCAUAUCAAUAAGCGGAGGAAAAGAAACUAACAAGGAUUCCCCUAGUAACUGCGAGUGAAGCGGGAAAAGCUCAAAUUUAAAAUCUGGCGGCUUUUGGCUGUCCGAGUUGUAGUCUGGAGAAGUGCUUUCCGCGCUGGACCGUGUACAAGUCUCUUGGAACAGAGCGUCAUAGAGGGUGAGAAUCCCGUCUUUGACACGGACUACCAGUGCUUUGUGAUGCGCUCUCAAAGAGUCGAGUUGUUUGGGAAUGCAGCUCAAAAUGGGUGGUAAAUUCCAUCUAAAGCUAAAUAUUGGCGAGAGACCGAUAGCGAACAAGUACCGUGAGGGAAAGAUGAAAAGCACUUUGGAAAGAGAGUUAAACAGUACGUGAAAUUGCUGAAAGGGAAACGCUUGAAGUCAGUCGCGUUGACCAGAACUCAGCCUUGCUUUUGCUUGGUGCACUUUCUGGUUGACGGGCCAGCAUCAAUUUUGAUUGUUGGAUAAAGGCUGGGGGAAUGUGGCACCUUCGGGUGUGUUAUAGCCCUCGGUCACAUACAACAGUUGGGAUUGAGGAUCUCAGCACGCCUUUAUGGUCGGGGUUCGCCCACGUUCGUGCUUAGGAUGCUGGCAUAAUGGCUUUAAACGACCCGUCUUGAAACACGGACCAAGGAGUCUAACAUGCCUGCGAGUGUUUGGGUGGAAAACCCGAGCGCGUAAUGAAAGUGAAAGUUGAGAUCCCUGUCAUGGGGAGCAUCGACGCCCGGACCUGACCUUCUGUGACGGCUCCGCGGUAGAGCAUGUAUGUUGGGACCCGAAAGAUGGUGAACUAUGCCUGAAUAGGGUGAAGCCAGAGGAAACUCUGGUGGAGGCUCGUAGCGAUUCUGACGUGCAAAUCGAUCGUCAAAUUUGGGUAUAGGGGCGAAAGACUAAUCGAACCAUCUAGUAGCUGGUUCCU